GCCCAACAGCUAGCUCAACCCCUCAAACACAACAACUCACUAUCCAUACCCCCUAAUAACGUAAAAACUCAUAACCAAAUCAUUUUUCCACCCAAGUAUGGGCGACAGAAAAGGACUAUACGAAGCAAUAGCAACAGUACCGCAAGGGAACGCUGAAAGAGAAAUGAAACAAAUCAGUAAAGCAUAAAAAAGCAGAGUUUAACCCUCGU
rnacentral:rRNA from 1 species